rnacentral:rRNA from 1 species
GUGUCAGCAGCCGCGGUAAUACAGAGGCCACAAGCGUUAGUCGGAAUCACUGGGCUUAAAGGGUGCGUAGGCGGAUCGGAAAGCGUCCUGUGAAAGCCCCCGGCUCAACCGGGGAACUGCAGGGCGAACUGCCGAUCUCGAGGCAGGUAGGGGCCGGAAGAACAGUAGGUGGAGCGGUGAAAUGCGUAGAUAUCUACUGGAAUGCCGAUGGGGAAGCCGUCCGGCUGGGCCUGUCCUGACGCUGAGGCACGAAAGCGUGGGGAGCAAACAGGAUUAGAAACCCCCGUAGUCC